rnacentral:rRNA from 1 species
AUUGAACGCUGGCGGCAGGCUUAACACAUGCAAGUCGAGCGAGCGGCGGACGGGUGAGUAAUGUCUGGGAAACUGCCUGAUGGACGGGGAUAACUACUGGAAACGGUAGCUAAUACCGCAUACCAUCAGAUGUGCCCAGAUGGGAUUAGCUAGUAGGUGGGGGAACGGCUCACCUAGGCGACGAUCCCUAGCUGGUCUGAGAGGGUGACCAGCCACACUGGAACUGAGACACGUGCCAGACUCCUACGGGAGGCAGCAGUGGGGAAUCUUGCACAAUGGGCGAAAGCCUGAUGCAGCCAUGCCGCGUGUGUGAAGAAGGCCUUCGGAUUGUAAAGCACUGUCGGCGAGGAGGCGUUACUCGCAGAAGAAGCACCGGCUAACUCCGUGCCAGCAGCCGCGGUAAUUC